GCAGCCGCGGUAAUUCCAGCUCCAAUAGCGUAUAUUAAAGUUGCUGCAGUUAAAAAGCUCGUAGUUGAAUUUCGGGACCAUCAUGUCGGUCGUGCCUCGGUACGUACUGGUAUUGUUGGUUUCUCCCUUCUGACGAACCAUGAUGUCAUUUAUUUGGUGUUGUGGGGAAUCAGGACUGUUACUUUGAAAAAAUUAGAGUGUUUAAAGCAGGCUCACGCUUGAAUACAUUAGCAUGGAAUAAUGAAAUAGGACGUUUGAUUCUAUUUUGUUGGUUUCUAGGAUCGACGUAAUGAUUAAUAGGGAUAGUUGGG
rnacentral:rRNA from 1 species